GCUGAAUUAGUUUAAUUUUUAAAAUAAAAUGUUUGGGGCUUUUAGAUUUUUUUCAGUU
rnacentral:tRNA from 2 species